AAAUUCAAAUGGCUGUGACAGCAGUGAACCGGAUCCUGGGAUGAAACGUUGGGAGAUUUUGUCGUGUCUCAGUGGCUAUGCCUUGUGGGAAGCUCUUCCUGACAAUUCAGACCUAAGAUGUCGGUGCCGAUUGAUGACGGCGUCUUUGUGCACCAGCCCUUCCUUUCCCAAUUUACUCCACCAGGGUGUGGUCAAGACAGAAUGGGAUAAGACCUAUGAUGUGUAUGGUGUUCAGUUUUCUACAUCAAGUCAUAGACCUGAGGUUUCAGCCCCUGAUGCUUAUGGCCUGUGCCCAGGUAGCUCCUCAGGACAUGCUGUGUGUGAAAGUGAAGCCAGUCACUUCUUGACUAUGAUAUAAAGGAAGGAGCCAUGGUCCCACUAACCUCCUGGAAGGUAUAUCCACAGUGAUCUAAAGACUACCUACUAGGCCUUGCUUCUAAAGAGCCCUAUAGUCUCUCAGUGUGACCUGAGAAUUUAGUUUUUAGCACAUGGACCUUUAAUGGAGACAGUCCAGACACAGUGUGCUUAGCAUAGGGAAGCUGCAACCAAUGUGACUGCAUUAGGUGGGUUUUUAUUGCUAUGAUAAAGAUCAUGACCAAACAUAACAUGAGGAGGAAAGGACUUACUUCUUUUUCCAGCUUAUGAUGUCU